UUAUAGACAAAAUCCCUACAACGGAAAGAGCAGGCAGAUCGUAAAGACGCCGUAAAAUCAUCCCUGAUGGCUCAAGCCACGCCAUCUUUGGCGCGGACGCUUU
rnacentral:ncRNA from 1 species